GUUUUGUGCGUUAUGACACUAAACUAUGCUAUCUGCAGAGAAAACGCAAUAAUUCCAAGCGCUCUGGUACAGCCAGUCGUAUACGGGCCUGAUAAAUGUGUACAUAAACAGCCUUUGCCUUCACCCCGUGGAGUGGGUUCAGUUGCAUUCGUUCAGUUGUAUUAUGGUUAAAUUAAAUCAGCCUGGUAACACGACAUACCGUUUGAAAGUGUUAAAACUCACGGUUCUCUCUCUAACCCAUUUUACGGUGCCAAUGUUUUAGCGACAACGGUCCCUUAUCUUCUAACGUGGGAUGCCAAAACAAACUUGGGGGUUCCUCACCUUCUGUGCGUUUUGGAAAUCCACUGACGGCAUAUGACGAUAAGGUCAGUCUUUUUCACGAGAAGGAUCCAGUGAACAAAACCUACAGUAAAUUUUCAUCCAAAAAAAGUGCAGAGGACUUAUUCAAUGAAGGACUUGAUUCAGAUUUAUGUCGUCUUCCAGACCUGCUGCUGCCAGAGGUAGCAAGGGGAGGGUGGUGGAGAGUGGCAGGCGCAGGAAAAGUGAGAAUUUCCGCAAACGUCUUCAACUAACCCAUAGUAUACAAUAUAUAGUAUUUUACAUCUAUAAACACCCAUAACAUCAUUUGGUAACCAAUUGUCCUUUUGGAAUCUCCAAAUGGUCUUUUUGGAAACCUGGCUAGACAUAGCUUAG